rnacentral:rRNA from 1 species
CCUGCCUUGGAGAGGGGAAUAACACAGAGAAAUUUGUGCUAAUACCGCAUGAUGCAGUUGGGUCGCAUGGCUCUGACUGCCAAAGAUUUUAUCGCUCUGAGAUGGCCUCGCGUCUGAUUAGCUAGUUGGUGGGGCAACGGCCCACCAAGGCGACGAUCAGUAGCCGGACUGAGAGGUUGACCGGCCACAUUGGGACUGAGACACGGCCCAGACUCCUACGGGAGGCAGCAUG